rnacentral:rRNA from 1 species
AUUGAUGAAAUAACAACUGUCUCUAUUUUAUUUAAUGAAUUUAAAUUUUUAGUAAAAAUUCUGAAAUUUAAUUAUGGGACGAUAAGACCCUAUAGAAUUUUAUUUAAUAUAAUUAUUUAUUUAAAUUAUUUGUGAAUAUAUAAUUAAUUUAAAUUUGAUUGGGAGGAUUGGUAAAUAAAAAUAACUUUAUCUAAAAAUUAAUUUUGAUGAAAAGAUUUUUUUUGACUUAUAAUUUAUGAUUAAAAGAAUAAAUUACCUUAGGGAUAACAGCGUAAUAUCUUUUGAUAGACCACAUUGAUAAAGAUGUUUGCGACCUCGAUGUUG